rnacentral:tRNA from 1 species
GCCGGCCUAGCUCAGCUGGUAGAGCGCAAGGCUCUUAACCUUGUGGUCGUGGGUUCGAACCCCACGGUCGGCG